GUUACGUACACGAUUGCAUGAUUGAAAAAUUAUGGUUGUGAAAGUUCGAUACUCAGCUCUUGCAAAAUCCGGACAUUGUUAAAUUCUGUGAACACUGCCUGUAUUUCGUCAUUUGAAAUAGGGGCAUUAAGAGUUUUGUGAAUAACCCUGACCCUGUAAUUAUAAAUUAUCAAUAAUUUCAACUUUUUAUGGUAACUUUCCUACUGUUUUACUCUUACUAUUUUAUACAGCUACACAUCUUUAGGAUGUAUUUUAGUAUUUUCACAGAAGUUUCAAUAUAGUGGGCUGAUGUCCUAUAUUUUAAUGCUUUCACAUAAAAUGCUUUCGCCCAGGAUUAGGAAUAAGACUCAGCUAUACCACCUGACACGUCAUUCACUCAUCAGUUCGGGAAUAAGAGGGUUUAGUGAAAAUUAGAUCCAUAUUAGGAAAAAUGAUGUGUAACAGGAUGUAUGAAAUCUCUGGGCUUCAAGGCUUUGGCGCUGACCUACACAGAGGAGUGACAUAAUUCUAAAGGGCUAAAAGUCGUGGAAAUAUUGUUGUUUUUUUAUGUGUGUUUUUUUUAACUGACCUUUGUUGAUCAGAGUUACAGAUCGCAUCAAUUAUAAAUGGACAAGGA